GGUGGUGGCGGCAGCUUUCACGGGACCGUCGUCGUCGUAACCAUGACAAAAUAGAUCUAUUUUGUCAUGGUCGUAACAACGUGAUUAAUAAAAGGUGUUGUUGUCCACGAAUUGUUUUUGUCACGACCGUGUAAUAUAAAUACUAGUAAAUUACCAAACGUGUUCGUUGUUGUUAUUCACCAUUCCUACCAAAACCGUUCCUGACACCUACAAGCUCACUAACACUGUCGCUUUCAUUUCUGAUCUUGUCGUCCACUUGAGUUUCAGCGGAGUUUGUUGGUUCUAUUGCGGUUCCUGUAAUGUUCGUCGUCGAGGAGGAAAUUCACGUUGGUGGCACAUGUUUUUCAAUAUUGUUUUUUGGAUGUCAUUUCUCAAUUUGUCGACAUUUGUGUUCGUGUUGUACAUAUUGUGUCACUGGUCUAUGUGUCAUCUGUAAACCGCGCUGAGAUGUAAGCGGUGUUUGCGGUGGGAUCACACCUGUAUAUUUUUAUUGUAUUACAUCUUACGAAUUGUGUCCACACACACUAUCACUCAUUUGGUGCUAUCGACAGACAUAUACUACAUUAUUGUAAAUAAUCUCAAAUCCCAUGAACGAUUAUUGUCAUCGCCUCCUAAACUACCCGUAAUCCGGCACCUGAGGUCAAACAAUUAGCGUAAGUCCGCCAGCACCCUUAAGGGCCCUUUCACUUGGACGCGUAUCAUACGCAUCCAUGUGGAAGGGCCCUAAGGGGUUGUGUGAGAGGCCGCUAAGGUCAUCGAGUGAAUCCACCAGCAUCAGUCGGGCAUUGAGUUUAAGUCUGCGUAAGUCCAACAACAACCUAAGGAGGGUGUGUAAAGGACCGCACAGGCUCUCAUAAGUACGGCAAUUGAACACACCAUUGCAUAUAUCUUAGAUUUAAGUAGAUUAAGAUAAUUUUAAGAAUUAUUGUCUUUGUACCCUGUGGUCAUUGCACCAGACCGGAUUGGCCACGCCCCCGUCAGCAUAAUUAAAUAAUUAAACUGUACUCAGUGGCGGCUUGGACACACAUGACAUGGUCGGCUAAAUAAAAAAUGGCCCCUCUUAGGUACAAUUAGAAAGACAUUGGGGCUUGAACAUAUUUUUUCAAUACAUUUAUUAUAAGGAUUGCGUACUUCGCUAUAUAGUAACAAGGUAAAUAAUUAAAAUAUGCUUAUGAAAUUUAAGCACAUGA